UUCUUACAUUUUGUUAGGAUUAAUAAUAUUAAAAUAUUGGUUUGCAGUAGCAAUCUAGCAAUCAAUAAACAAAUUCAUUCAUCUAAGGCUUAAAUGAUUCUUUACAACAGCCUAUCAAGGAGACCUGUAUAAAUAGUUUGUUAUUUUUAGCACAAUUUUUAUCCUGGUAAUCGAAAACUCACAAACGAGCAGAAUUCUACGCCAUUUCUCAUCACUAUCAGACUUGUUUUUAAUAAACUUGGAGCGAAAUUUGUGCAUGGUGGCUAAUCCAAAAAUAAAUCGAGAGAAGCACCACAGCAGAUUUUUGUUGCUAUAGGAAUCCUAUUUCACCAGUAUGACCACUCUGAGACCUUUUACUUGCGAUGACUUAUUUAAAUUCAAUAAUGUGAACUUUGACCCCUUAACAGAAACAUAUGGUCUUUCGUUUUAUACACAGUAUCUUGCUCGUUGGCCAGAAUUUUUUCAAUUAGCGGAAUCGCCCAGUGGCCAGAUAAUGGGAUACAUAAUGGGAAAAGUUGAAGGACAUAUGGAGAAUUGGCAUGGCCAUGUAACAGCUUUAACCGUGUCACCUGACUACCGCCGUUUGGGCUUAGCAGCUCUGUUAAUGAACUUCUUGGAAGACAUAUCUGAAAAGAAGCGAGCUUAUUUUGUUGACUUAUUUGUUCGCAAAAGUAACAAAAUUGCCAUAAACAUGUAUACCAAUUUAGGAUAUAUAAUAUUUCGAACAAUAUUGGACUACUAUUCUGGAGAUCAAGACGAAGAUGCCUAUGAUAUGCGAAAAGCACUCACAAGGGACACGGAGAAGAAAUCUAUAAUACCAUACACACAACCAGUACGACUGGAAGCAUUAGAAAUGCAUUGAUAUUAGUUGUUUCAUGUUUGAGUUAAUUUUUGAAUAAUUGAUAAUUCGACAAUUAGUUUUCAAUUUGUAACUAAUGUCGUCGCCUGAAUUUCAAAGAAACAAAAAAGUUAUUAACUGGAUUCACUUCUUUAGUUAUGUUACAUUGAAGAUAAACCAUUUACUAACUUUUAUUUGUUUUAAUCUAGUAAUAUCCACAAAAAAUUGCUAAAAAAUUUAAUUUUAUCAACACCCUUUUCGUCAUGCCUAGUUUAAAUUUAAUUGAAAUAUUAAUCCUGCAAAUGUGAAUAACAACUUGUUUUCUAUGUGAGUUCGAAAAGGUAUCGAAAAGGGAGUUACGACAUUAUAUGGAGAAUACAAACUAUUGUUGACAAGAUAGUCGAAGGAAAAGAGCAAAUCAAUUCUUCAAGUUAGCUAAUUGGAUGCAUUAGCAUUUUAUGAAAAUAUACCAAUAAAUCUUUGAUUUGCCUGCAUUAGAUUAACAACAAAUAAAAUUUUUUUGAUUUAAAAUCGAAA